GCGAGCGGCGGGGCGGGCCGCGGGGAACUCCCGAGGAAGCUCCUCCCCCACCCGGGAGAUGCGUGGCGCCGCGAGGCGCCGGGGGAGACCCCGGGCGACGCCACAGAAACGAGACCUCCCGCAUUCGGAUGAGGAUGACGCGGCCUCUAAGCCGUUGACGAGGAUGCGGGAUUGGGUGAAACGGGCGUCCCGCGCGGGGAAAGGUGUGGGAGGCGAUGUGCAGGUCUCCCGGCGAAGCCUCCCCCGAGACCGACUAGACGAAUCCCGCCUAAAAACAGAAGGAGGGCUACCGCCGCACGC
rnacentral:RNase_P_RNA from 1 species